UACGUAGGGUGCAAGCGUUGUCCGGAAUUAUUGGGCGUAAAGGGCUCGUAGGCGGUUUUGUCGCGUCUGCCGUGAAAAUCCGGGGCUCAACCCCGGACUUGCGGUGGGUACGGGCAGACUAGAGUGUGGUAGGGGAGACUGGAAUUCCUGGUGUAGCGGUGAAAUGCGCAGAUAUCAGGAGGAACACCGAUGGCGAAGGCAGGUCUCUGGGCCACUACUGACGCUGAGAAGCGAAAAGCGUGGGGGAGCGAAACAGG
rnacentral:rRNA from 1 species